rnacentral:tRNA from 1 species
AGGGUUGUGGCUCAGUGGUAGAGCGCUUGCCUAGCAUGCUUGAGGCACUGGGUUCAAUCCCCAGCACCACAU